rnacentral:rRNA from 1 species
UACCAGCAUCCCGAGUGGUCGGGACGUUUAUUGGGCCUAAAGCAUCCGUAGCCGGUUCUACAAGUCUUCCGUUAAAUCCACCUGCUCAACAGAUGGGCUGCGGAAGAUACUAUGGAGCUAGGAGGCGGGAGAGGCAAGCGGUACUCGAUGGGUAGGGGUAAAAUCCGUUGAUCCAUUGAAGACCACCAGUGGCGAAGGCGGCUUGCCAGAACGCGCUCGACGGUGAGGGAUGAAAGCUGGGGGAGCAAACCGG